CUACGGGGCGCAGCAGUGAGGAAUAUUGCACAAUGGGGGAAACCCUGAUGCAGCAACGCCGCGUGGAGGAUGACGCAUUUCGGUGUGUAAACUCCUUUUAUAUGUCAAGAAAAUGACGGUAGCAUAUGAAUAAGCACCGGCUAACUCCGUGCCAGCAGCCGCGGUAAUACGGAGGGUGCAAGCGUUAUUCGGAAUCACUGGGCGUAAAGGACGCGUAGGCGGGUUAUCAAGUCAGGUGUGAAAUCCUACAGCUUAACUGUAGAACUGCACUUGAAACUGGUAGCCUAGAGUAUGGGAGGGGCAGAUGGAAUUAGUGGUGUAGGGGUAAAAUCCGUAGAUAUCACUAGGAAUACCGAAAGCGAAGGCGAUCUGCUGGAACAUUACUGACGCUAAGGCGUGAAAGCGUGGGGAGCAAACAGGAUUAGAUACCCCCGUAGUC
rnacentral:rRNA from 1 species